AGAACGAACGCUGGCGGCGUGGUUUAGGCAUGCAAGUCGAACGAGGUCCAUCCCUUCGGGGAGAAGACCUAGUGGCGAACGGGUGAGUAAUACAUCGACCAUCUACCCUUGGGACGGGGACAACAGCGGGAAACUGCUGCUAAUACCCGAUAGUCCGGAAACGGUAAACGGCGGGGACCUUCGGGCCCGUCACCCAGGGAGGAGUCGAUGGCCUAUCAGCUUGUUGGUGGGGUAAUGGCCCACCAAGGCUAAGACGGGUAGCCGGACUGAGAGGUUGACCGGCCACACUGGGACUGAGACACUGCCCAGACUCCUACGGGAGGCUGCAGUCGAGAAUCUUCCGCAAUGGACGAAAGUCUGACGGAGCGACGCCGCGUGCAGGAUGAAGGCCUUCGGGUUGUAAACUGCUGUCAGGUGUUAGGAACAACCGUAGGUUAAUACCCUGCGAUCUGACAAAAACACCAAAGGAAGCCACGGCUAACUUCGUGCCAGCAGCCGCGGUAAGACGAAGGUGGCAAGCGUUGUUCGGAAUUACUGGGCAUAAAGCGCGCGUAGGUGGCUUGGCAAGCGGGGAAUGAAAUCCCAUGGCUCACCCAUGGAACUGUUCUCCGAACUGCUUGGCUUGAGGUCGGGAGGGGAGAGCGGAAUUCCCGGUGUAGCGGUGAAAUGCGUAGAUAUCGGGAGGAACGCCGGUGGCGAAAGCGGCUCUCUGGCCCGAUCCUGACACUGAGGCGCGAAAGCUAGGGGAGCAAACAGGAUUAGAUACCCUGGUAGUCCUAGCUGUAAACGAUGGGCACUGGGUUGAGGGGGAGUCAACGCCUUCUCAGCCGUAGCUAAUGUGUUAAGUGCCCCGCCUGGGGAGUACGGUCGCAAGGCUA
rnacentral:rRNA from 1 species